GUCUACGGCCAUGCCACCCUGAACAAGCCCAAUGUCUGAUCUCGGAAGCUAAACAGGGUCAGGCCUGGUUAGUACUUGGAUGGGAGACCACCUAGGAAGACUAGGUGCUAUAGGCA
rnacentral:rRNA from 1 species